GAUGAAGAACGUAGCGAAAUGCGAUAAGUAAUGCGAAUUGCAGAAUUUCCGUGAGUCAUCGAAUCUUUGAACGCACAUUGCGCCCACUGGUAUUCCGGAGGGCAUGCCUGUCUGAGCGUCAUUGUCAACCCUCAAGCUCAGCUUGCUGUUGGGUCCCCGUCGUUGCUUUAACGGCGGACCCGAAAGGUAAUGGCAGAGUCCGUGAGACCCUAGACGCAGCGAGCUUCUAGCACGCGUCUGGACGUUUUUCGGGCUCGGUCUUAACUAGAUGAUAACUUCCGAUUGACCUCAGAUCAGGUAGGGAUACCCGCUGAACUUAAGCAUAUCAAUAAGCGGAGGA
rnacentral:misc_RNA from 1 species